rnacentral:lncRNA from 1 species
CUUGAUUUUGGUCACGAAGCCACCGUAGGAGGCGUAUGUCUCCUACACUCUUCUCAUACCAGUGCUCACUCUCAGGACGCCAUGCCAUCUCCUCCACCGCAGGCCACGCGUCAUCAUAGCCGUGUUUGGACCACUCCGGUGCCGGCGUCAUCCAUUCUCGGUGAGAGCCCGCGAUAUUUUUCAACUUGCUUCUUCACCGGACGUUGUGCCUUGCUAAUAAUCAGUGUAUAUGUGUGGAUAUUGUGAGGAGAAAUCUCAUGAUUUGGUGGAGAAGACAAUGUCCAAACACAACGCUUGCUAAGUGUUCGAUGAUUUGUUUGAGCCAAGAAUCUUCGUCGUUCUAGUGGUUUCGAGUCUGAUUUAGUUAUGGUGAGAUCCUUUUCUAUCCUUGCUAGUUAACUUUAAUGGUGG